GAUCUCCUCUUCUGCUCUCCUUGAGCCGAUCCACAUCCGCGAUUAUGCCACUUUCCAUCGACCUCGCUUCACCUCAGCUCGCCAUACACCGACGGCACAUGUAUACAGUGUACGUGCAACGGAAGCUCGUGAUUUUCUUUAUGGACUGAAUUCGGAACUUCGUGAAAUCGAUCGACAGGGAUCUCGGAUUUCAGGGAAAGGAUAUGCUUCUUUUAAAAAAUCGAAAGGUAUCGAACGAUAACUUUUUACGAUUAGUUAAACAAAGUACUCGAAGAUACUUUAGAUCGAUCUUUUAAACGAAUGCUUCGGAAAAUAAAACUAGUCGAGUUUGAUGUUGGAAAAUCGAAAAUAGAAGAUUAGAUAUAAUACUGUAUUUUAUCUCCGAAAUAAAAGGAACUGUGUCACUUUUUCUCUGACACGCCCGGAGAAAAGGAAGUUGAAAAUUAUGCCGACCUAUUCUGUAGCCCUUGCACACAUUGUCCGGAAAAAUGCUGCGGUGCGAAAAAGAUUUAUUAAAUUUCCCGUUUUUUCUUUUCUCUCGGGCCAAAGACGUUUUUAAUUAGAUACCGAAAUUUGUACUUUGGUCUAUUUACUUCCUUCUCUUUGAAGCAAAGAUGCCUCUCGAAAAUUUGCCCUGCCUUUUUCUCGUCGUUCCCAUUACUCUUUCACAAUUCUUUGCAAACGGCAUUCUAUUUGCUCUUGAUUCACCGUUAACGAAAAUUAACCGCCCGAAAACAUUCUUUGUUAGUAUCUGUGCGGAGAGGGAUCAAAGUAAACGAAACUUCGUCGAGAAUAAAGUGCAUCGAACGAAUCGGCGGUAAUCGAACUGGCGUCAUUUUAGCACGCGGUUCCGUAUUAUGUAAAGCGAUUCGCAUCGGCGGAAGACGCGUCUUGCUUCGUGGACCAAUUUGUUACGUCCACGGUUUUUACGAAACACUCAUUCGCCGCGCUGGUCCGUUUUAUUCUUUCCCCUUCCAUCCUUUUUGCUCGCCAUCGCGAUGUAAAGUUAAUUGGCGUAGCGCCGCGCGGUUACUCGAUUUACAUGAGUUUUAAUUAAGCGACUGCGUUUGCUCGUCUCACAGCGAACGAUACCUACCGGGGCCACGUGGAAUUUUUGAAGUAAUUGUUAUGUGUUUUGCACGCCUUGCCCUGCCGAGGUAUGAAAGAGGGGCUGGGCAGAUACAAAUCUUCAAGAUCGUAAAUUCGCUUUUUUAAUGUUACACCGCGAGGGCUAUCAUUCUCAUAAUGACCUCUUUAAUUCACCAGCAUAUUUUCGACGAUUACUACGCUCUCUCGUUUGCUCUUCUCAUCUUUUGCCUGACGUAAAAAUCGUUUCCCGUGAUCGUUGAGGUUCCUUCGAAUAAAUGGACACUAGAUCUUUUUACAGUCGGAUUAUGGUUCCCUGUGUGAGAUCGGUGACAUUGAUAGGUCAACGAACUUCUCGAAUGACCUUGCCUUGGCAAGUAUAGCGGUACGGUGAAAAGAUUCAUAGGCAAGUAAGUUUUCUCCUACUGGACGAAUAAAACGGAAAUAUCGUGUUUGGUAUUAUCGUUUCUACACUUUAGACGAUAAAUAGAUACAGUUACAUACGUUUUUUCGUUUUGUCUUUGUUAACUUUGUUCGUUUUUUGUUUAGUACUUUGCUGUGACAUAUAUUAAUUGUUUCGAUCUUUUACAUUUAGCGGGGUUUGUUCGCACACGACUAAACGGUAUGGUCAUCUAGCGGUGAGAAAGCUGAACUAAAAUGUCACUUAUGAUAUGCUACUACGCGAGUACAUCUCGUCUGUAAUGACAUAUAAGUUCGUGUCACAUGUCUUAGACAUUAAAAAAUUAGAGAUUCUGUUAUGCUGCAGAUACAGACAAGGUACAAAAUAGAUGUGACAUGUAACACUUUUGCCUCACGUUUUGAGGAUUUCCUGAUUCUCUUACCAUUUUCGUGUCACAUGCGAUGUUAUCGAUUCGAUAUACAUAUAUACAUAGUAGUAAUUUGAAUAACAUAAUACAUAAUUUACUAGAAAAAAAGUUUUCGAACUUGUGUGCAAGAUCUGUAAAUGAUCCCAAGCAAUCAGGAGUCAGUCAGGUGAAGAUUUGGCGCUAGAUGACGUUAUACAGCGAAAAAGUGAGAAAAAAUGAAGAUCUAUACGAUUAUUAGAUUCUUCAUAACAUUUCCCCUUUCGCCAGGAAGGAUGUAGCGGUGUCUCAGCUUUAAGCAUUUUCUUUUGGCCUUCGCUUCUUCCGUCGAAUUCGGCGGUUCUGUCUGAUGACGCCUUGAUCAUGGCUUCCCUUGGGCCACAACGAUAUCGAUGACAACGUUCUUCGCAUUUAAUCGUGAGUCGCAUGCAUCUUUGUUUUUCUAGUCACUCAAUCGUGUCGUAGGAUGAAAGGUCCGAAUCGACACGGGUGACCGAUCGUAUUACGUAGAAUUUUUAACUAGCAUGGUGACCGCAGUUAUUUAUUAUAUCCAUGAGUAGUAACUUUUUUUAUUUGUAUUUUAUUUUUUAGUUGAGGGCAGGUUUUCUUACGAAUCGCGUUUUUAAGUGUUGUUGAUCAAUGCAUGUAUGUCAGUGUAAUAUUUACAUAUUACAAUAUAAACAAUCUGUAUGAA